rnacentral:rRNA from 1 species
CACGUAGGGCGCAAGCGUUGUCCGGAAUUAUUGGGCGUAAAGAGCUCGUAGGCGGUCUGUUACGUCUGCUGUGAAAACCCGGGGCGUUAACCCUGGCGUUGCAGUGGAUACGGGCAGACUAGAGGCAGGUAGGGGAGAAUGGAAUUCCCGGUGUAGCGGUGAAAUGCGCAGAUAUCGGGAGGAACACCGGUGGCGAAGGCGGUUCUCUGGGCCUGACCUGACGCUGAGGAGCGAAAGCGUGGGGAGCGAACAGG